rnacentral:rRNA from 1 species
UGGGGAAUCUUCCGCAAUGGACGAAAGUCUGACGGAGCAACGCCGCGUGAGUGAUGAAGGAUUUCGGUCUGUAAAGCUCUGUUGUUUAUGACGAACGUGCAGUGUGUGAACAAUGCAUUGCAAUGACGGUAGUAAACGAGGAAGCCACGGCUAACUACGUGCCAGCAGCCGCGGUAAUACGUAGGUGGCGAGCGUUGUCCGGAAUUAUUGGGCGUAAAGAGCAUGUAGGCGGCUUAAUAAGUCGAGCGUGAAAAUGCGGGGCUCAACCCCGUAUGGCGCUGGAAACUGUUAGGCUUGAGUGCAGGAGAGGAAAGGGGAAUUCCCAGUGUAGCGGUGAAAUGCGUAGAUAUUGGGAGGAACACCAGUGGCGAAGGCGCCUUUCUGGACUGUGUCUGACGCUGAGAUGCGAAAGCCAGGGUAGCGAACGG